UACGGAGGAUGCAAGCGUUAUCCGGAUUUAUUGGGCGUAAAGGGUGCGUAGGUGGUUUCUUAAGUCAGUGGUGAAAGGCUACGGCUCAACCGUAGUAAGCCUUUGAAACUGGGAAACUUGAGUGCAGGAGAGGAGAGUGGAAUUCCUAGUGUAGCGGUGAAAUGCGUAGAUAUUAGGAGGAACACCAGUUGCGAAGGCAGCUCUCUGGACUGCAACUGACACUGAGGCACGAAAGCGUGGGGAGCAAACAGGAUUAGAUACCCUGGUAGU
rnacentral:rRNA from 1 species